AGAUGUGCUCGUAGAGUAACGAGCAGGGUAAACAAAAGAAAUGCUCAUUAAGA
rnacentral:ncRNA from 1 species